ACACGGUCCAGACUCCUACGGGAGGCAGCAGUGGGGAAUAUUGGACAAUGGGCGAAAGCCUGAUCCAGCCAUGCCGCGUGUGUGAAGAAGGUCUUCGGAUUGUAAAGCACUUUAAGUUGGGAGGAAGGGCAUUAACCUAAUACGUUGGUGUCUUGACGUUACCGACAGAAUAAGCACCGGCUAACUCUGUGCCAGCAGCCGCGGUAAUACAGAGGGUGCAAGCGUUAAUCGGAAUUACUGGGCGUAAAGCGCGCGUAGGUGGUUCGUUAAGUUGGAUGUGAAAUCCCCGGGCUCAACCUGGGAACUGCAUUCAAAACUGACGAGCUAGAGUAUGGUAGAGGGUGGUGGAAUUUCCUGUGUAGCGGUGAAAUGCGUAGAUAUAGGAAGGAACGCCAGUGGCGAAGGCGACCACCUGGACUGAUACUGACACUGANGUGCGAAAGCGUGGGGAGCAAACAGGAUUAGAUACCCUGGU
rnacentral:rRNA from 1 species